rnacentral:rRNA from 1 species
GACGAACGCUGGCGGCGUGCCUAAUACAUGCAAGUUGAGCGCUGAAGGUUGGUACUUGUACCGACUGGACGAGCAGCGAACGGGUGAGUAACGCGUGGGGAAUCUGCCUUUGAGCGGGGGACAACAUUUGGAAACGAAUGCUAAUACCGCAUAAAAACUUUAAACACAAGUUUUAAGUUUGAAAGAUGCAAUUGCAUCACUCAAAGAUGAUCCCGCGUUGUAUUAGCUAGUUGGUGAGGUAAAGGCUCACCAAGGCGAUGAUACAUAGCCGACCUGAGAGGGUGAUCGGCCACAUUGGGACUGAGACACGGCCCAAACUCCUACGGGAGGCAGCAGUAGGGAAUCUUCGGCAAUGGACGAAAGUCUGACCGAGCAACGCCGCGUGAGUGAAGAAGGUUUUCGGAUCGUAAAACUCUGUUGGUAGAGAAGAACGUUGGUGAGAGUGGAAAGCUCAUCAAGUGACGGUAACUACCCAGAAAGGGACGGCUAACUACGUGCCAGCAGCCGCGGUAAUACGUAGGUCCCGAGCGUUGUCCGGAUUUAUUGGGCGUAAAGCGAGCGCAGGUGGUUUAUUAAGUCUGGUGUAAAAGGCAGUGGCUCAACCAUUGUAUGCAUUGGAAACUGGUAGACUUGAGUGCAGGAGAGGAGAGUGGAAUUCCAUGUGUAGCGGUGAAAUGCGUAGAUAUAUGGAGGAACACCGGUGGCGAAAGCGGCUCUCUGGCCUGUAACUGACACUGAGGCUCGAAAGCGUGGGGAGCAAACAGGAUUAGAUACCCUGGUAGUCCGCGCCGUAAACGAUGAGUGCUAGAUGUAGGGAGCUAUAAGUUCUCUGUAUCGCAGCUAACGCAAUAAGCACUCCGCCUGGGGAGUACGACCGCAAGGUUGAAACUCAAAGGAAUUGACGGGGGCCCGCACAAGCGGUGGAGCAUGUGGUUUAAUUCGAAGCAACGCGAAGAACCUUACCAGGUCUUGACAUACUCGUGCUAUUCCUAGAGAUAGGAAGUUCCUUCGGGGCACGGGAUACAGGUGGUGCAUGGUUGUCGUCAGCUCGUGUCGUGAGAUGUUGGGUUAAGUCCCGCAACGAGCGCAGCCCCUAUUGUUAGUUGCCAUCAUUAAGUUGGGCACUCUAACGAGACUGCCGGUGAUAAACCGGAGGAAGGUGGGGAUGACGUCAAAUCAUCAUGCCCCUUAUGACCUGGGCUACACACGUGCUACAAUGGAUGGUACAACGAGUCGCGAGACAGUGAUGUUUAGCUAAUCUCUUAAAACCAUUCUCAGUUCGGAUUGUAGGCUGCAACUCGCCUACAUGAAGUCGGAAUCGCUAGUAAUCGCGGAUCAGCACGCCGCGGUGAAUACGUUCCCGGGCCUUGUACACACCGCCCGUCACACCACGGGAGUUGGGAGUACCCGAAGUAGGUUGCCUAACCGCAAGGAGGGCGCUUCCUAAGGUAAGACCGAUGACUGGGGUGAAGUCGUAACAAGGUAGCCGUAUCGGAAGG